AAUUCUGUUGUAAUGUCGGUACCAGUUGGUCUCUGUGAGAUUUUCUUCAGCCGUUCAGGAUUUUGGACUUUUAUCUUCUUCGUGGUUCUGCUCUGGACGCCUGUUAAAACUAAAUCUUGAGGAGUUUUCUGACCAGAUGAAGAUGAUCUCCUCCUCUUCCUCUCUCAGGAUGAAGAUGAUGUCCAGCAUCCUGCUGCUCCUCAUCCUCAGCUCAUGUCUCUGUGCAGCAACAUUUGUAGUGAAUGUGACACAGAGCAGCUAUCAGGCAGAGGAGAAGCAGAGCAUCACUCUGGAGUGGACCUUCACCACCAAGACUCAGGGAACCUGGAAGAAUCUGUUCAUAAUCUG